rnacentral:rRNA from 1 species
UACGAGAGGUCCAAACGUUAUUCGGAAUCACUGGGCUUACAGAGUUCGUAGGCGGUCCAGAAAGUGGGGUGUGAAAGCCCUCGGCUUAACCGAGGAACUGCGCUCCAAACUACUGGGCUAGAGGAAGAUAGAGGUGAGCAGAACUGAUGGUGGAGCGGUGAAAUGCGUUGAUAUCAUCAGGAAUACCGGAGGCGAAGGCGGCUCACUGGGUCCUUUCUGACGCUGAGGAACGAAAGCUAGGGGAGCAAACGGG